rnacentral:rRNA from 1 species
AUUGAACGCUGGCGGCAUGCCUAACACAUGCAAGUCGAACGGCAGCACAGUAAAGAUUUCGGUCUUUAUGGGUGGCGAGUGGCGGACGGGUGAGUAAUGCGUAGGAAUCUGUCCUGGAGAGUAGGAUAACCCGAGGAAACUCGGGCUAAUACUGCAUGAUAUCGAGAGAUCAAAGGCAGGGGACCCUUCGGGGCCUUGCGCUCUAGGAUGAGCCUACGUCGGAUUAGCUAGUUGGUGGGGUAAAGGCCUACCAAGGCGACGAUCCGUAGCUGGUCUGAGAGGAUGACCAGCCACACUGGGUCUGAGACACGGCCCAGACUCCUACGGGAGGCAGCAGUGGGGAAUCUUGGACAAUGGGGGAAACCCUGAUCCAGCGAUGCCGCGUGUGUGAAGAAGGCCUUCGGGUUGUAAAGCACUUUAGUUGGGGAUGAAAAGUAAUGAGUGAAUAACUGAUUGCUCUGACGGUACCCAAAGAAUAAGCACCGGCUAACUCUGUGCCAGCAGCCGCCGUAA